CCUACGGGGGGCUGCAGUGGGGAAUAUUGCACAAUGGGGGAAACCCUGAUGCAGCAACGCCGCGUGAGCGAUGAAGGCCUUCGGGUCGUAAAGCUCUGUCCUAAGGGAAGAAUACUGACGGUACCUUAGGAGGAAGCCCCGGCUAACUACGUGCCAGCAGCCGCGGUAAUACGUAGGGGGCUAGCGUUAUCCGGUAUUACUGGGCGUAAAGGGAGCGUAGGCGGCCCUUCAAGUCAGAUGUAAAAGGCUACUGCUCAACCGUAGGAAGGCUUUGUAACUGUAGGGCUUGAGUGGAGGAGAGGAGAGUUGGAUGGCAAGUGUAGCGGUGUAGUGCGUAAGGAUUGGGUUAACCACCACUUGCGGAUGAGACUGUCUGGAGUGUAACUGACGCUAAGGGACGAAAGGGUGGUCGGCUAACAGCAGCAGAUACCCUAGAUGUC
rnacentral:rRNA from 1 species